GUGCUUGCUUGGGCAGCACAUACGCUAAAAUUGGAAUAAGAAGAUCAGCAUGGCCCCUGCACAAGGAUGACACGCAAAUCUGUAAAGUGUUCCAUAUUUGU
ensembl:snRNA U6 U6 spliceosomal RNA